rnacentral:rRNA from 1 species
AGCAGCCGCGGUAAUUCCAGCUCCAAUAGCGUAUAUUAAAGUUGUUGCAGUUAAAAAGCUCGUAGUUGAAUUUCGGGAUUGACGUGAUGGUCGUGCCUUAAGGGGUAUGAACUGUCGCAGUUGAUUUCUCACCUUCUGGAGAAGCAUGAUGUCCUUAAUUGGGUGUCAUGUGGAACCAGGACCUUUACCUUGAAAAAUUAGAGUGUUUAAAGCAGGCAUUUUGCUCGAAUACAUUAGCAUGGAAUAAUAGAAUAGGACGGCAUGGUUCUAUUUUGUUGGUUUCUAGGAUCACCGUAAUGAUUAAUAGGGAUAGUUGGGGGCAUUAGUAUUCAAUUGUCAGAGGUGAAAUUCUUGGAUUUAUUGAAGACUAACUACUGCGAAAGCAUUUGCCAAGGAUGUUUUCAUUAAUCAAGAACGAAAGUUAGGGGAUCGAAGACGAUCAGAUACCGUCGUAGUCUUAACCAUAAACUAUGCCGACUAGGAAUCAGACGAUGUUAAUUUUUAAUGACUUCG